rnacentral:rRNA from 2 species
GUCGAGUUGUUUGGGAAUGCUGCUCAAAAUGGGAGGUAAACCCCUUCUAAAGCUAAAUAUUGGCCAGAGACCGAUAGCGCACAAGUAGAGUGAUCGAAAGAUGAAAAGCACUUUGAAAAGAGAGUUAAACAGCACGUGAAAUUGUUGAAAGGGAAGCGCUUGCGACCAGACUUGUGCUCGUCGAAUCAGCCGUCGCUCGUCGGCGGCGCAUUUCGGCGGGCUCAGGCCAGCAUCAGUUCGCUGCAGGGGGAGAAAGGCGGUAGGAAUGUGGCUCUUCGGAGUGUUAUAGCCUACCGUAUAAUACCCCUCGGUGGACUGAGGACCGCGCAUCUGCAAGGAUGCUGGCGUAAUGGUUGUCAGCGACCCGUCUUGAAACACGGA